UACGGAGGGUGCGAGCGUUGUCCGGAAUCAUUGGGCGUAAAGGGCGCGUAGGUGGCCCGGUCAGUUCGUGGUGAAAGCGCGGGGCUCAACCCUGCGUCGGCCAUGAAUACUGCCGCGGCUGGAGCACUGUAGAGGCAGGCGGAAUUCCGGGUGUAGCGGUGGAAUGCGUAGAGAUCCGGAAGAACACCGGUGGCGAAGGCGGUCUGCUGGGCAGUUGCUGACACUGAGGCGCGACAGCGUGGGGAGCAAACAGG
rnacentral:rRNA from 1 species